UUUGCCACAAACGGCUGACUGGGUCGACGGCUGAAGCCGAACCCUAGAAGUUCUCUGUUGUGUCGAAGUCGAACCCUAGAAGUUCUCUGUUCUCUCCCUCGUCCGGUCGUCCUCGUCCCUCACUCCCUCUCCCUAGUUGCCUACCCCCGCCGCCGCUCAACUCAAUAGUUGCUCGGUGCCUCGGCCUCGGUUGCUCUUGCAGUCUUGCUCGCCAAGUCGCCAGGUGACCAGGUCCUAGACCCACGCCGCCGCUGCAUCCAGAUUCCGGACCCACGCCACUGCCGCCUGCAUCCAGUCUCCAUGGCAGUUACCAGUGACACCACAAAUGAUGACGGACGGUGAUGCUUCUUCUUGAACCUCGUUCCUCUUCGUCAUAUUAACCUUGUAGCUCCGCACAUGACCGCAUCUUCAUCUCGCCCUUUGCUGACACCUCGCCGUCCCAAAGGAAGUCGCUACCACUUCAACUGAGCAUUGCCCCCGGAUUCGAAGGACAAGAGCAACGACGGCGACAGAGACCCAAAUGGAUCUGCUUCCCCUUCAUCUCUUGCACUUCCUACUCCGAACAGAGGACAAGGCUCAUGUGGGCAGGGCCGACAGGCCAAACGUCGUCACGUUCGCUCCCGGCGGUUGACACAUCGUGAAGGCUGGUGGUAGCCGGCCUCCCCGGUCUUCAAAUACAACCGUCGCUGCUCGAUCAGGUCGCAAACUCCUGCUACCUCUCAGGUUGAGGAAAAUGUCUACAGCUAGUGAGAGUGAUGGAACUCAUGGAAGCAACCAGAGCCAGUGUGCAGUGUCUCAAGAGUCACCACCUGCCACUGAGUCAAACAACGAUGCAGAGUCAAUUGACAUACAAGAUGAAGAUGAAGAGGAAGAUGUUGUAGUUGGGUCCAAGAGGAAACGAACUUUUGCUGUUUGGAAAGAGUUCACCGAAGUGCGGAUUGGAGGCAAUGUACAUGCAAAAUGCAACUAUUGCUCCAAGAAGCUUUCAGGAUCAUCCAAGAAUGGAACUAACCAUCUUCGUCUCCAUUUGAAGUCUUGUGUGCAAAAGAGGAUCAAGGUGAAUGGAAAGACCAUGGCACAUGCUUCUUUGAGGUUUGGUAAAACAGAUGCUGGGACGGUUUUAGUUGAGAACUACACCUUUGAUCAAGACAUAGCUAGACAAGAACUUAGUGCAAUGAUAGUACUUCAUGAGUACCCAUUAAGCAUGGUUGAUCAUGUAGGCUUCAGAAGGUUUGUUGGUGCACUUCAACCACUUUUCAAGAUUGGGACAAGGAAUACUAUAAGGUAUAAUAGAUGUGACUUCUAGUUUUACUUCUAGUUCUUUUGAUAGCCUGGAGUCAUGUGGAGUUCUUUUGAAUCAAAGGCUCUGGACGCAUGCUAGUGGGUAAUGUAAUGUUGCUGCUGGUGGUCAUGUAGUGUCGACGUGUGGUACUGGUUAACCACCAAUAAUUGUAAUUUUCUGGUGAUCAUGUAAUGCUGCUGGAGCUGGACGUGUUCUUUUGGUUAUUUAUGCUGCUGCUGGUAAACUUGCAAAA